GUGUAUGGUUUAUAUGCACCAACUUUUGUAUAAGCUACUGGAAGCUAGCUUAUCCAGGAAGGUAGUUUCUGCUCAUAACAAACUGAUUGGGGACACUUUUUGUGUCAUUUACACCUGAUUAACUUAAGCACCAGUGCUCUCCCCUCGACAAGUAAAAUUGUCUCACCUGGUGUUUUACAGAUCAAUGUAAUAUAACAUAGGGCGCAUUAAGGUACAAUGCAACUUUAAAACAGUUUAAUGAAAGCAUUUCUAAGCAGCAUUGUAUGUAGACCCUUAAAGACAGGAAUAAACCUGCAGCCAUCAGUGAUUAUUUCUGAUGCAGUGUUCAGACCAAUUUAUACUGAACAGCUAUAUGUACAGUUGUCAAGCUGUAAUUGCAAGUUAAUUCAUGUAAAUAUCGUAAGGUGAAGCUAGUAGUAAGGUGUAAAGGGUAAAUAUCAGGAUUUGGGGCAUCACACUCAACAGAACUUUAAAUGUCGAAGGUAGUGUCACUAGAUGAAUAUUUUAAGUGUGAAUUUUAUACAUAUUUAUAGGGCCAUUCCAUUUAAUAUACACAGCCCUAUGGACGAGAAUUUCUAAGGGGGUUUGAAAAAGCUGUUUCUGAGGGGUUGUGUGCAUCGGCAUCCUUUGAUCUUUGCAUUUUUUCUGAGGGGUAAGGCAAAAAUUUCUUAAUUUCUGGGGGGGGGGUGUUUGUGUCAGCACUUUGAUCUUUUUUUCAUAGCCUGGGUUAAAAUUUUAUUGACCUUGUCCAUAGGGGGUGUGUGUAUUAAAUGGGAUGGCCCUAAAAUAGACCUAACCAACCUAAAAAAUUGGUUAGGGGCCAUUCGCAAAGGAUGUCUGGCCAAAUGAUGGAUUUUCAGACCCCCCUCCCCCCCUUGUCCGGCAUUGUCCGAAUUAGUGACCUCCCCCCGGACAUCCGCCAUGCCUUGCAAAAACACAUGCAACCUUGUAUAUGCCAAGAGUAAACAUUUUUUUACUUAGAACUUUUUUACAACUUAUAAAUGUAUUGAAGGAAAGAAUUAGAUAUUAUGAAGUGAUCGAAAAGCCAAUUUCAC